UGAUCCUGGCUCAGGAUGAACGCUGGCGGCGUGCUUAACACAUGCAAGUCGAACGUGAUCCAUUAGCAAUAGUGGUGAAAGUGGCGAACGGGUGAGUAACACGUAGAUAACCUGCCCUGAAGAGGGGGAUAACGACUGGAAACGGUCGCUAAUACCGCAUAAUGUCUUUUAGUAGGGAUACUAGAAGAAGAAAACUCUGGUGCUUCAGGAGGGGUCUGCGUCCGAUUAGCUAGUUGGUGAGGUAAAGGCUCACCAAGGCGACGAUCGGUAGCUGGUCUGAGAGGACGAUCAGCCACACGGGAACUGAGACACGGUCCCGACUCCUACGGGGGGCAGCAGUGAGGAAUAUUGGGCAAUGGGCGAAAGCCUGACCCAGCAACGCCGCGUGGAGGAUGAAGGCUUUAGGGUUGUAAACUCCUUUUGUGGGGGAAAAGAAUGGAUGGUACCCCAAGAAUAAGUCACGGCUAACUACGUGCCAGCAGCCGCGGUAAUACGUAGGUGACAAGCGUUAUCCGGAAUUACUGGGCGUAAAGCGCACGCAGGCGGUCAGAUAAGUCUGAUGUGAAACCUUCUGGCUUAACCAGAAGACGUCGUUGGAUACUGUUUGACUUGAGGCGAUGAGAGGAAUGCGGAAUCCCCGGUGUAAUGGUGGAAUAUGUAGAUAUCGGGGGGAACAUCUGAGGCGAAAGCGGCAUUCUGGCAUUAGCCUGACGCUCAGGUGCGAAAGCGUGGGGAGCAAACGGGAUUAGAUACCCCGGUAGUCCACGCUGUAAACGAUGAAUACUAGGCGUAGGUGGAGUUAAACCCAUCUGUGCCGAAGCCAACGCAUUAAGUAUUCCGCCUGGGAAGUACGGCCGCAAGGCUAAAACUCAAAGGAAUUGACGGGGGCCC
rnacentral:rRNA from 1 species